rnacentral:rRNA from 1 species
AACGAACGCUGGCGGCAUGCCUAACACAUGCAAGUCGAACGAAGCCUUCGGGCUUAGUGGCGCACGGGUGCGUAACACGUGGGAAUCUGCCCUUCGGUUCGGAAUAACAGUUAGAAAUGACUGCUAAUACCGGAUGAUGACGUAAGUCCAAAGAUUUAUCGCCGAAGGAUGAGCCCGCGUAGGAUUAGGUAGUUGGUAGGGUAAUGGCCUACCAAGCCGACGAUCCUUAGCUGGUCUGAGAGGAUGAUCAGCCACACUGGGACUGAGACACGGCUCAGACUCCUACGGGAGGCAGCAGUGGGGAAUAUUGGACAAUGGGCGAAAGCCUGAUCCAGCAAUGCCGCGUGAGUGAUGAAGGCCUUAGGGUUGUAAAGCUCUUUUACCAGGGAUGAUAAUGACAGUACCUGGAGAAUAAGCUCCGGCUAACUCCGUGCCAGCAGCCGACGGUAAAAUAGCGUACU